AAGAUCUUGACAUAAGCCUUCUCUUCUCAGUUCUUCCCCAAGUUAGGAAAAGCUGAGUUGAGAGCGGAAAAAAAAUCUUAAC
rnacentral:pre_miRNA from 10 species